rnacentral:rRNA from 1 species
UGGAUAACCUGCCUAUAAGACUGGGAUAACUUCGGGAAACCGGAGCUAAUACCGGAUAAUAUUUUGAACCGCAUGGUUCAAAAGUGAAAGACGGUCUUGCUGUCACUUAUAGAUGGAUCUGCGCUGCAUUAGCUAGUUGGUAAGGUAACGGCUUACCAAGGCAACGAUGCAUAGCUGACCUGAGAGGGUGAUCGGCCACACUGGAACUGAGACACGGUCCAG